CUCCUCCUUCAUUUGCACGCAUAACUUUCUCUCUCUUCUCUUUUCUCUCUAUUUUUCUCUCUAUUUUUCUCCAUAUCAAAGAGAUUUCUCCUAUUUUUCUUUAGCAUAAACUAAUGAACCCUAAUUUUUUUUUAACUUAAUCGCUCCUUAAUUUCAUCGCUGAAUAUCACAAAUUGCUACUCGAGUUCAACGCCAAUCUUCAAAACAUUGCUCAAAGUCUUUGAAAUUGCAGGUUUAAGGUUGGAUUGAUGAUGUUGGAGUCGGGCUUUGGUGGCGAAUUGGUGGAGCAGUUGGUGGCUGUUGUGUGGGCGUCCGAUAGAGAUGCAGUUGCUGAUGUUGCAGCUGAACUGCUGUGGUGGUUAUUGCGAUAGCUGAUCAUGUGAAUUGGCGGAGGUUGGUUGUGGAUUUGGAGGGUGCGAGGUGGAUGAACUACAUGGCUGGCUAGGCAAAUUAAGGUAGCUGGUGGUUAUUGUGGGAAUGCGUAGCUACUAUGUGUUGUUGUUGGGUUGCAUGGGUUGUGCUGAAGUAGGAGAGUGGCAUGGAUACUUGCAGGUUGCAGCAGGGGAGUUACAAGGUUGUUAUUGCAGCUUGUUGAGUUUGUGUAGGUUAGCUGAUGGUGGGGUGAAGGUUUAGGCUGCUUAAGGGCUGGAGCAAGAGGGGGGGGGGGGGGGGGGGAGCAGCCUUAUGAUGCAAAAGAACAUUCGACAAAAAAUCAAAACUCUGAACUUGAUUGGUUAUAAGCUUUAUUGUUUGCGUGUUAGAAACCUAUUAGCUCAAUUGGUUGAGCAAUGUGUACUUGUAUUACACACAUGACGUGUGUUCGAAUCCUACGUUUACAUGUAGUAAUAUUCAUAAAAUGUAGUCAAAAUUAAUCUAAUUUUCUAAGUGUAGAAAAUAUGAUUUUCUAAGUGUAGAAAAUCUGAUUUUCUUAGUUAAAUUAUUUAGUGAAC